rnacentral:rRNA from 1 species
UACGUAGGUGGCAAGCGUUUGUCCGGAUUUAUUGGGUUUAAAGGGUGCGUAGGCGGCCCUGUAAGUCAGUGGUGAAAUAUCUCAGCUUAACUGAGAGGGUGCCAUUGAUACUGCAGGGCUUGAGUACAGAUGAAGUAGGCGGAAUUGACGGUGUAGCGGUGAAAUGCAUAGAUAUCGUCAAGAACACCGAUAGCGAAGGCAGCUUACUAAGCUGUAACUGACGCUGAGGCACGAAAAGUGUGGGGGAUCAAACAGG